rnacentral:rRNA from 1 species
GACGAACGCUGGCGGCGUGCUUAACACAUGCAAGUCGAACGAAGUGGCGAACGGGUGAGUAACGCGUAAUCAACCUGCCCUUCAGAGGGGGACAACAGUUGGAAACGACUGCUAAUACCGCAUACUGAAGGAGGGGAUUGCGUCUGAUGAGCUAGUUGGGGGGGUAACGGCCCACCAUGGCGAUGCUAAGUAGCCGGUCUGAGGUGAUGACAGGCCAACGUGGGACGGAGACACGGCCCAGACUCCUACGGGAGGCAGCAGUGGGGAAUCUUCCGCAAUGGACGAAAGUCUGACGGAGCAACGCCGCGUGAGUGAUGACGGCCUUCGGGUUGUAAAGCUCUGUUAAUCGGGACGCGGUACCGGAAUAGAAAGCCACGGCUAACUACGUGCCAGCAGCCGCGGUAAUUC